GAUGAACGCUGGCGGCGUGCCUAAUACAUGCAAGUCGAGCGAACAGAUGAGGAGCUUGCUCCUCUGACGUUAGCGGCGGACGGGUGAGUAACACGUGGAUAACCUACCUAUAAGACUGGGAUAAGUUCGGGAAACCGGAGCUAAUACCGGAUAAUAUAUUGAACCGCAUGGUUCAAUAGUGAAAGACGGUUUUGCUGUCACUUAUAGAUGGAUCCGCGCCGCAUUAGCUAGUUGGUAAGGUAACGGCUUACCAAGGCAACGAUGCGUAGCCGACCUGAGAGGGUGAUCGGCCACACUGGAACUGAGACACGGUCCAGACUCCUACGGGAGGCAGCAGUAGGGAAUCUUCCGCAAUGGGCGAAAGCCUGACGGAGCAACGCCGCGUGAGUGAUGAAGGUCUUCGGAUCGUAAAACUCUGUUAUUAGGGAAGAACAAAUGUGUAAGUAACUAUGCACGUCUUGACGGUACCUAAUCAGAAAGCCACGGCUAACUACGUG
rnacentral:rRNA from 1 species